rnacentral:lncRNA from 1 species
AGAUUUUAUUCAUUUAUUUGAGAGAGAGCGAAAGCACAAGUGGGGUGAGGGGCAGAGGGAGAAGCAGACUCCCCACUGAGCAGGGAGCCCAUGGUGAGUCUUGUUCGGGGAUGCUAAGGGCAUGACCUGAGUGCAGUCAGAUGCUUACACUCCUGAGCCACCCAGGCAACCCACGAGAGAACCUUCUGAUGAUGACCACUGGCAUGUGUGCUCACUGCCCCCUUUCUGAAGGCUGCUAGUCCAAUUAAGACAGCCCCACUGUCCCACAAGUUAAUGUAUACAUUCAUGUAAGCAAGAUCCCUCACCCAGUGCCCAGCAUGGGAUACCACUCUAUCAGACCUGGGAAGCCUUCUCUCCUCCCCUGUGUCUAGAGAAGAAGACAGAAUCAACACCAAAGAAUUUCAGUGUGUAAGCAUGUGGCCUUAGGAAAGCUACAGCUAGGCAGAGUUAGAUAUGCUGGCUCCUUGAUGCUAAGCAAAUGAUGGGAAGGACUUACGGAGGGUCAUCCCCAGCCCCCACCCAAGCCUGUUGCCUGGGGCGUGCUCCUGAAAAAGUUUACCUAACUUCCACCUAGAAAAACAGAGCUCUCCUCUGGAAUUCAGCACAGUUUAGAAAGGUCAGAGAAAUUCACAGCCUGGGGCCCUAUGUCUGCCUGGUGUCAAAACAACCAGAUACUCUUCUUUCUGCUUUGCAGUUUAUAAAGCCCUAUGAGAGGCCAGGAUCUGAAUAACAGGCCUGGGAUCUGGAUUUUAAAAAUAAAAAAUAAAUUUAAAAAACAACAACAACACAGAGAGAAGGAAGUGAAGAUGAAGAAAAAAGACACUAGUACAGCCCGAGAGACCCUGUAUCCUAGAUGCCAGUAACCUUGUAUCUCUUACCUCACUUUUUACAACCUCCCUUAUUCCCAAAAGUAAGAUUUGUCCCCAUUUCAGAGACACUCAAGCUCACAGGCUGGGCAGCAUGUCCAGGGUCACACAGCAACAAAGUGGCAGAACCAGAAGAUGAACCCAUCUGCUUUGACCCCUGAUCCAUUGAGCGCUCCAUCCACAGCUCCACGUGCGGAAACUGAAUCCCUGAGCAUUUUCUGGGACCUGCAGAACGUCACAAAGCUAGUAAAUAGCAAGGCUGGCAUCUGCCUGUAAUUCUGAUCUCAAACUUGAGGUAGAUAGUCUAUGUUUAAUAAGAUGUUCUGUUUGCUGAUGGGAAACAAAAGGUGGGGUGGAAGAAAAUGAGAGGUCACAUAAGAAUUGACCUAUUUAGAUUCGAUAACCCAGGCUGCGGGCAUGGUUUGCAGGGAGAGGUCCUUAAACUAAAAGGUGACACCAUGAAGUCACAAAUCAGAGCAAUGAGUAGGUUAUGAAACCUGGCAAAUCCAGGAAUCUGUACCAGAGAGAGCAGUCUUCAGUUUUCCUUCUCAGCCUUAAUCAAGUCUUUAAAUCAACAGCUUAAUUUAUUUUUAUUUUUAUUUAUUUAUGAUAGUCACAGAGAGAGAGAGAGAGAGAGAGAGGCAGAGACACAGGCAGAGGGAGAAGCAGGCUCCAUGCACCGGGAGCCCGAUGUGGGAUUCGAUCCCGGGUCUCCAGGAUCGCGCCCUGGGCCAAAGGCAGGCGCCAAACCGCUGCGCUACCUAGGGAUCCCCAACAGCUUAAUUUUUGAAAUAAAAUGAUACAUGUUCACAAUUCAAAAUUCAAAAGAUACAAAAGAUAGAAUGUGAAAAGUCACUCACUUUCCAUUCCCUGCCCUCACAGCGAGCCUGACCAGCAUAGGGUAUCCAGAGACCUUGAUUCUGCCUAAAUACAGAGGGUUCUGGAUAUUGUAUUAGAAAAAAUAUCUGUUCACGCGGUAUGAUGACAAUUGUGAAAAGAUCCGAUGCCUUGUCCAAAAUAUAUCUCCAUGAGCCUUGUACCACUUUCCCCUUCAAACGAGAAGGAAGUUCCCCCAGUGAGUGUUCCUCCUGGAUGGGAGGAACAAAGCAAAGAUGGGAAUAGCACUUCCAGAACUACACAGGAAAAGGGAAAUGGUCAAACUUAGUGCUUUUGCUUAAGGGCCUUUCUGUUCAUCAACCUAAAAAUUAUUUUCUCUGGUUAUUUUGCUAUCCCCAUUCUCAUCCUCAAAACAAAUGCCCAUCUGGGGAAGCCCUGAGGGGUCCUCACUAAGGCAAAUUUAAUGUUAGGAUUUUAAAUGUGAUACAUUUUCCCCGAUAGCCCCACAAUUUCUAGAAGAGCCAAUUUGACACAAACUAGAUUUUGCUUACAGGUGAAAUGUGAGGAAUAUCUAAAUCAAAUGGCUUCCUCCCCUUCCUGAUGCCCUGUCACUGACCUCUCAAGAGCAUAAUUUAUGAAGACCCUCUUUUUUUCCUUCCCUUUUUUUUGUUUCAAUUUUUUAUUUAAAUUCUAGUUAGUUGACAUACAGUGUAAUAUUAGUUUUGGGAGUAGAAUUUAGUGACUCAUCACUUACAUAUAAUACCCAGUGCUCAUCACAAGUGCCUUCCUUAAAAAAAAAACAAAACAGAAAAACAAGUGCCUUCCUUAAUACUCCCCGCUCCCCCUUUAGGCCAUCCUCCAUCCACCCCCCUCCAUCAACCCUUAGUUUAUUGUGUAUCCUUAAGAGUCUUCCCCUUUCUCAAAGUAAAACAACAAGAAAGUUGAAGAAGCCCUCUCAACUUCCCAAAUGUUAAUCAGGCUUGCAAUUGAAAUACCUGAGGACACAGAGCUCACACCGGCUUUGUCUGUCUGUGUCUUUCCAAAUCAGAACAAAGUCUUUGCCCAACUUUGCUGCUAAAGGUUCUGUCCUGUUUCUGUCCUUCUUUAUCAAACUCAUCUAACAAAUUAUCUGCACUUACCGUUAUCUUCAGCCCUUAACUUUCAAUAAAUUGGUUUUGGUCUCUAUUGAAAAUGUAAUUAGGGGGCAUUAUGUACUCCUGAAUAGGUGGAUUCAAAUGCCCCUCCUCAGUCUUGACUGACAUCCAGAGUCUCCUAUUCAAUUUGUUACUAUAAAUCACACUCUAAGUGAUCGUUCUUUUUUGUUUAGUAAAUGUUUAAAAAAUUUAAUUACAUGACAGUAUAGCACCAUUAGUAUUAGUAGUAUGUAGUUCUAUCUACAUAAAAGGCAGGAAAAGUCACCCACAAUGCCACUACCCUAAAACAGAUAAACUUUUUUUAAAAGUCAUGUUUAUAGGGCAUCUAGCUCAAUACAUUAUAGUUCAUCUUGUGGAAUGCUAUGCAACAUUUGAAAACGAUGAGACAGAUCCAUACAUAUGAAAACACUCCCAUAGUAUCUAUAAAAUGAACAUAGCAUGAUGUAUGACAAUAUAUAUAAUACUAUUUGUGUAUUUUUAUAACUAUAUUUCAUGCUGGGAUAUGUAUGCAAAUUUUCUGUAAGGACAUACAAGACACACUCAACAGUGAUUGCUUGUAGACUCCAGAAAAAGGGAAUGGCUGAUAGGAAAAAAGGAUUUGAUUUUUUUAUUUAUAUUUUUCUGGAUUGGUUGAUUUGUUUUCCAUAUAAUUUAAAAAAUAUUACAUCUAAAACAAAAGUUAUGUUUGUGUGUAAUCAAUUCUUUGGAAAUAAAUAGAACAAUUAAAUGUCUACACAUGUAACACAUGAAGCUCAUUAAUUAUGUAAUUAGUAUUCAAAAGCAGUUUAAUUACAUUUGAAAAAUAUUUGAGGGUUAAAGAGAGAGAAAGAGACAAAAUAAGAAACAGACUCUUGGGAUCCUGGCUGGCUCAGUUAGUGGAGCAUGUGAUUCUUGAUCUCAGGGUUGUAGGUUUGAACCUCAUGUUGGGUAUGGAGAUUACUUAAAAAUCUUAAAAAAAAAAAGAAAAGAAAAGAAACAGACUCUUAACUAUAGAGAACAAACUGAUGGUUACUGAAGUGGACAUGGGUGGGGGACAGGUGAAAUAGAUGAUGGGGAUGAAGGAGUGCACUUGUGGUGAGCACCGGGUAUUGCAUGGAAGUGCUGAAUUAUUAUAUUGUGCACCUGAAACUAAUGUAACACUGUGUUAACAAAAGAAGAAGAAAAAAAAGUAUUUGAAAGUGACAUUUAAUUUCAUUUUAUACAAAAUUCACAAAAUUGUAUGAUAAUUUUUGGGAAAUGAUAACCAAACACACAUUAAACAUUACUUGCUUGUAGCUUAAUAAUUUCAAAAGAAAAAUUACACAAAAUUCAACAUUUUUAUAGUGAAUUAUGAUAUUUGAUUUGGAAUAUGAUUGUAUAUUUUAACAUGUAUAUAGGUUACUACAAAUGAUCCCAAAAGAUAACAAUGCCUAGAGCACAAGAGGCUCUUAAAUUGGGACUAUAUAAACAUGCAUUUACCAUAUAAAUGCAGAACCUCUGAUGCUAUCUAUGCCUCCCAAUUGUUUCUCGGACCCCCAGGCUGUCCAGGGAUGCUGAAGGCAUCCUGGGGGUGGACAGAAUCCUCUAGAGACAGAAAUCCUCUGCUGC